rnacentral:rRNA from 1 species
AUUGAACGCUGGCGGCAGGCCUAACACAUGCAAGUCGAGCGAGCGGCGGACGGGUGAGUAAUGUCUGGGAAACUGCCUGAUGGAGGGGGAUAACUCCUGGAAACGGUAGCUAAUACCGCAUACCAUCAGAUGUGCCCAGAUGGGAUUGGCUAGUAGGUGGGGUAAUGGCUCACCUAGGCGACGAUCCCUAGCUGGUCUGAGAGGAUGCCCAACCACCCUGGAACUGAGACACGGUCCAGACUCCUACGUGAGGCAGCAGGGGGGAAUAUUGCACAAUGGGCGCAAGCCUGAUGCAGCCAUGCCGCGUGUAUGAAGAAGGCCUUCGGGUGGUAAAGUACUUUCAGUCGGGAGGCGUUACCGACAGAAGAAGCACCGGCUAACUCCGUGCCAGCAGCCGCGGUAAUAC